AAGUCGAGGGGCAGCGGGAUUGAAGCUUGCUUCAAUCGCCGGCGACCGGCGCACGGGUGCGUAACGCGUAUGCAACCUACCCAGAACAGGGGGAUAACACUGAGAAAUUGGUACUAAUAUCCCAUAACAUCAUAAGGGGCAUCCCUUUUGGUUGAAAACUCCGGUGGUUCUGGAUGGGCAUGCGUUGUAUUAGCUAGUUGGUGAGGUAACGGCUCACCAAGGCAACGAUACAUAGGGGGACUGAGAGGUUAACCCCCACAUUGGUACUGAGACACGGACCAAACUCC
rnacentral:rRNA from 1 species